rnacentral:rRNA from 1 species
UUAAGUUAAUAAGGGCGCACGGUGGAUGCCUUGGCACUAGAAGCCGAUGAAGGACGUGACUAACGACGAAAUGCUUUGGGGAGUUGUAAGUAAACAUUGAUCCAGAGAUGUCCGAAUGGGGGAACCCGGCAUGUAAUGCAUGUCACUCAUUACUGUUAAGGUAAUGAAGAGGAAGACGCAGUGAACUGAAACAUCUAAGUAGCUGCAGGAAGAGAAAGCAAAUGCGAUUGCCUUAGUAGCGGCGAGCGAAAUGGCAAGAGGGCAAACCGAUGUGUUUACACAUCGGGGUUGUAGGACUGCGACGUGGGACGACAAGAUUAUAGAAGAAUUACCUGGGAAGGUAAGCCAAAGAGAGUAACAGCCUCGUAUUCGAAAUAGUCUUUAACCCUAGCAGUAUCCUGAGUACGGCGAGACACGAGAAAUCUCGUCGGAAUCUGGGAGGACCAUCUCCUAACCCUAAAUACUCUCUAGUGACCGAUAGUGAACCAGUACCGUGAGGGAAAGGUGAAAAGCACCCCGGGAGGGGAGUGAAAUAGAACCUGAAACCGUGUGCCUACAACAAGUUCGAGCCCGUUAAUGGGUGAGAGCGUGCCUUUUGUAGAAUGAACCGGCGAGUUACGAUAUGAUGCGAGGUUAAGUUGAAGAGACGGAGCCGUAGGGAAACCGAGUCUUAAUAGGGCGCAUUAGUAUCAUGUCGUAGACCCGAAACCAUGUGACCUACCCAUGAGCAGGGUGAAGGUGAGGUAAAACUCACUGGAGGCCCGAACCAGGGCACGUUGAAAAGUGCUUGGAUGACUUGUGGGUAGCGGAGAAAUUCCAAACGAACUUGGAGAUAGCUGGUUCUCUCCGAAAUAGCUUUAGGGCUAGCGUCGAUGUUAAGUCUCUUGGAGGUAGAGCACUGUUUGAUUGAGGGGUCCAUCCCGGAUUACCAAUAUCAGAUAAACUCCGAAUGCCAAUGAGAUAUAAUCGGCAGUCAGACUGCGAGUGCUAAGAUCCGUAGUCGAAAGGGAAACAGCCCAGACCACCAGCUAAGGUCCCAAAAUAUAUGUUAAGUGGAAAAGGAUGUGGGGUUGCACAGACAACUAGGAUGUUAGCUUAGAAGCAGCUAUUCAUUCAAAGAGUGCGUAAUAGCUCACUAGUCGAGUGACCCUGCGCCGAAAAUGUACCGGGGCUAAAACAUAUUACCGAAGCUGUGGAUACCUUUUAGGUAUGGUAGGAGAGCGUUCUAUGUGUGAAGAAGGUGUACCGUGAGGAGCGCUGGAACGCAUAGAAGUGAGAAUGCCGGUAUGAGUAGCGAAAGACAGGUGAGAAUCCUGUCCACCGUAUGACUAAGGUUUCCAGGGGAAGGCUCGUCCUCCCUGGGUUAGUCGGGACCUAAGGAGAGACCGAAAGGUGUAUCCGAUGGACAACAGGUUGAUAUUCCUGUACUAGAGUAUAUAGUGAUGGAGGGACGCAGUAGGCUAACUAAAGCGUGCGAUUGGAAGUGCACGUCUAAGCAGUGAGGUGUGAUAUGAGUCAAAUGCUUAUAUCUCUAACAUUGAGCUGUGAUGGGGAGCGAAGUUAAGUAGCGAAGUUAGUGAUGUCACACUGCCAAGAAAAGCUUCUAGCGUUAAUUAUACUCUACCCGUACCGCAAACCGACACAGGUAGUCGAGGCGAGUAGCCUCAGGUGAGCGAGAGAACUCUCGUUAAGGAACUCGGCAAAAUGGCCCCGUAACUUCGGGAGAAGGGGCGCUGGCUUUAAGUCAGCCGCAGUGAAUAGGCCCAAGCAACUGUUUAUCAAAAACACAGCUCUCUGCUAAAUCGUAAGAUGAUGUAUAGGGGGUGACGCCUGCCCGGUGCUGGAAGGUUAAGAGGAGCGCUUAGCAUUAGCGAAGGUGUGAAUUGAAGCCCCAGUAAACGGCGGCCGUAACUAUAACGGUCCUAAGGUAGCGAAAUUCCUUGUCGGGUAAGUUCCG